AAAUGUUCCUAUCAGAAAUACACCAAUACAAACAAAACCAAUGAAGUUGUUAUUGAUGGAAUAUUACCUUAUCACAAUAUAAAGGCGGUACCUGUAUGUGAUAGAUAUAUACUUCAAUUGUUCAUAUAUAUACGCUUAGAGCAUUGCAUUAACUUCAACAGCAAUUUGAUAAACGCUUUGAAAAGUAAUUUAGUUUGUGUCGAAUAAUUUUCAUUUUUCAAAUACAAAAUGAACACCAAAGUGUUGAUCACUUUUCUACCUUUUAUUGUGCUGGGUUGCUGGUUAGUAACUGCAUCUCCAGUAGAAGAAAAAACUCCUGAAGCUGCCUAUAGAAAAAGCGAUGGAUCUGUGCUGAAUAAGCACGAGUUAGAAACUGACGGACUAAGAGACACAAGGGUAGCGUCCAUUUACGAAACGAAUAUGCCAGUUGCCAUGCAAACCCAAAUCUUAUCAUACGUAAAUACAGCCUACUCACUAUCGUCUGAUAGGGUUUACAUAUCUCAACUUCUUCAGAGCUACAUGAAUGCAUACCAACCUAAUUAUCGUUGGAACGUGGUUAUCAACUAUGCUGCAAUUUCUUACUACAGCAACUAUUAUGCAAUUGUUAGACAAAACUCUGAUUAUUUGAUUAUCUUUGGAUGAACCGUUUCGGGUUCUAGUUCCAAUAAGAUCACUUGAUAAUAAACUGCACCACUGUCCUAGUUUUAAUUAAUUUAUUGACACAUGUCAUUAGUUUAUAUGAUAAUAUAAUGUAUCUUGUUUAAUUGAUUAAAUAUUAGACUAUUGAAGUACA